rnacentral:rRNA from 1 species
GAUGAACGCUGGCGGCGUGCCUAAUACAUGCAAGUCGAGCGAACAGACGAGGAGCUUGCUCCUCUGACGUUAGCGGCGGACGGGUGAGUAACACGUGGAUAACCUACCUAUCAGACUGGGAUAACUUCGGGAAACCGGAGCUAAUACCGGAUAAUAUAUUGAACCGCAUGGUUCAAUAGUGAAAGACGGUUUUGCUGUCACUUAUAGAUGGAUCCGCGCCGCAUUAGCUAGUUGGUAAGGUAACGGCUUACCAAGGCAACGAUGCGUAGCCGACCUGAGAGGGUGAUCGGCCACACUGGAACUGAGAGACGGUCCAGACUCCUACGGGAGGCAGCAGUAGGGAAUCUUCCGCAAUGGGCGAAAGCCUGACGGAGCAACGCCGCGUGAGUGAUGAAGGUCUUCGGAUCGUAAAACUCUGUUAUUAGGGAAGAACAAAUGUGUAAGUAACUGUGCACGUAUUGACGGUACCUAAUCAGAAAGCCACGGCUAACUACGUG